rnacentral:rRNA from 1 species
UGAACGCUGGCGGCGUGCCUAAUACAUGCAAGUCGAGCGAACAGACGAGGAGCUUGCUCCUCUGACGUUAGCGGCGGACGGGUGAGUAACACGUGGAUAACCUACCUAUAAGACUGGGAUAACUUCGGGAAACCGGAGCUAAUACCGGAUAAUAUAUUGAACCGCAUGGUUCAAAAGUGAAAGACGGUUUUGCUGUCACUUAUAGAUGGAUCCGCGCCGCAUUAGCUAGUUGGUAAGGUAACGGCUUACCAAGGCAACGAUGCGUAGCCGACCUGAGAGGGUGAUCGGCCACACUGGAACUGAGACACGGUCCAGACUCCUACGGGAGGCAGCAGUAGGGAAUCUUCCGCAAUGGGCGAAAGCCUGACGGAGCAACGCCGCGUGAGUGAUGAAGGUCUUCGGAUCGUAAAACUCUGUUAUUAGGGAAGAACAAAUGUGUAAGUAACUAUGCACGUCUUGACGGUACCUAAUCAGAAAGCCACGGCUAACUACGUG